UGCUCUGUGACUUAGUUGGUUAAAGCGCCGGACUAGCGAUACAGAGUCGUGGGUUCAAAUCCCACCAAAACAA
rfam:Aedes albopictus isolate Foshan contig37198, whole genome shotgun sequence.